rnacentral:tRNA from 1 species
CUGGCUAAAGUGUAUACGGUUGCAUACGUCCUUUGGGUGGACGCGGGCGGGGUUCAAGUCCCUGUAGCCAGAC